rnacentral:rRNA from 1 species
UUAAGUUAGUGGCGGACGGGUGAGUAACGCGUGGGUAACCUGCCGUAUACCGGGGGAUAACACCUGGAAACAGGUGCUAAUACCGCAUAAGCGCACGGGACCGCAUGGUCCAGUGUGAAAAACCGAGGUGGUAUGCGAUGGACCCGCGUCUGAUUAGCCAGUUGGCAGGGUAACGGCCUACCAAAGCGACGAUCAGUAGCCGGCCUGAGAGGGUGGGCGGCCACAUUGGGACUGAGACACGGCCCAAACUCCUACGGGAGGCAGCAG